UGCCAUAUGCAGGUGACACGAGAACAUGUUCCUGUCUGUGUAUGCAGUAACACAUGGAAAGGUGUAAGCCGAGCAUGGACCCAGAAAUGACGUCAAAACAAGAUAUCGUGUGUCAAAUGGGAUGGACAGAAGCAUUGAACUGAUUAACCA